UGCUUGGAUAGCUCAGUUGGUAGAGCACUUGCCGCGAAUGCUAAAGGUCCCGAGUUCGAGUCUCGGUCCGGCAA